rnacentral:siRNA from 1 species
UUGCUACCACACUCAUCCAUGUGU